AGUCACUUGCCUUGUAACUGAGCCCUCAUAUGACCAAUUUUAAAGUUGCCACAGACCUCCACGUUGAAGCUCAUGUAAUUGGAACAUGCCCAGAUGAACCAUGUAUGAAACCAUGGGCAGAACCUAAGUGCUAAGAUGGAGGCGCAAGAACUGAAUUAAGAAGGAGACACUGAAUGACAGGAUUCAGGAUCCAAUCAUAUGGAGCCCUGGUAUCAUCUCAUUAUAAGAUCCAAUCAGAUCACAUCUCAUUAUGCUAUGCUUGUAAUACCAGUCCCAGCUCCCAGCUCAGGGAGACAGAUUUGAGCAUUUCCUCCUGUCCGCUGCCAGUUGACUUGCAAUAAA
rnacentral:lncRNA from 1 species